UACGUAGGUGACAAGCGUUGUCCGGAUUUACUGGGCGUAAAGAGCGCGCAGGCGGUCGAUCAAGUCGAGUGUGAAAGCCCCCGGCUCAACUGGGGAGGGUCAUUCGAUACUGAUCGACUCGAAGGCAGGAGAGGGUAGUGGAAUUCCCGGUGUAGUGGUGAAAUGCGUAGAUAUCGGGAGGAACACCAGUGGCGAAGGCGGGUCUCUGGACAGUUCCUGACACUGAGGCACGAAGGCCAGGGGAGCAAACGGG
rnacentral:rRNA from 1 species